rnacentral:misc_RNA from 1 species
GUUCGUCCUCAAACAAGGAAAGCUCUUCUGGUUUAAGGACUCCACUGUCACCCGAUCCUCUGUCCCCCGCGGCGUCAUCCCCGUCGCCGCGUCCCUCACCGUCAAGGGCGCCGAGGAUGUGCUGAAUCGGCCCUUCGCGUUCGAGAUCUCGACGCCGGAGGAGACGAUGUACUUUAUUGCGGAUACGGACAAGGAGAAGGAGGAGUGGAUCAACUCGAUCGGGAGGGCGAUCGUGCAGGGGUCGAGAUCGGUGACGGAUUUGGAGGUGGUGGAUUACGACAGCAAGCCGGCCAGAUAGGUGCGUGUUUAUGUGCUUAUUUUGCUUAAUUAGGGGCUGUGCUUUGUAAAUUAUGACUAUGUCGUGUGUAUGUAGGCUGGAUUACGGACUUGAUAGGCGAAGCCAAGUGUGUAUUAUAGUUUCAUGUUCUUGUUGGAUCUUCAUGUUUU